UCUUAUGCUGAGGCAGAAAAAUAGGCACCCAGGGAAUUUUUACCUUGAAAAUUUAGCCACUGAGUGAGUUGAGGUGCCUGCAGAAGGCAGAGGGGGUUUUAUGGAUCACAUGGGACUGGAUUUAGCUGUUUAAAUCCAAGAUUUAGGAGACUAAGUGCUUGGUGGAUCUGGUGCCUAAAUAACUUGCCCACGGUCACACAGGAAGUCAGUGGCAGAAACAAAAAAAACUGAGCACAAAGCUGAGUCACAAUCUAGCGCUCUGACCACAAAAACCAGCCGACCUCCCUGAGCCGAUACCAAACGCAACAGGGCCAGCUCUGGUGAGAGCGAUGGAUUAAGAGCCACAUAGCAAGUUCAGAACAUCCGGGAGGGCGUUCAGGCAGCAGCUUGCGCCUCCUCCCUCUCUCUACCUGUGCAAGGCUGCAAGCCAUGGGAAACCACGAGGGGGUAAGUGAUCGCAACCCUCACCAUCCAUAUACACUGAGCAGUCAGCUGUCGGCUUGUGGGAGGUAACUGCAGUUUUAAAACAGCAGCUCCGCUUUCUAAUCGGACUGGGGGGGUGUGCGCGUGUGGGAAAAGCGCAGCAAUGGACCCUUUCUUCCUUUCACAACACUCUCCCCUUCAGGACUAAUUCUGCACGGGGGCAAAAAAGAAAAAACCCCAACAAGCCAGAAGCACCGAUCACACCUCCGUGUGGGAACUAAUUGCUGGAAGCAGCGUUUGCCUCGAGACCUAAGGAUUUCCCCUGCCUCCAACCUGAAGCGGUUUCUCCUGGAACAAAGUCACCCCCCCCUCCCACGCCACCUUUGCCGGCCGUUGACACGUUUGGCCAUUCGGAUUGAAUGGAGCUGGGAUUCUGGUUACUCUUUGGACUUACAGUGACCUCGAGCGCAGGGUUCUCGCUGCCCGUGCCUCGCCCGCGGCCCCUCUCCGAGAGCGGCCGGGGCCCGCGGUCUCCCGCGCCCCGAGAGCGGGUGGGUGCGGAGAGCACGGGCCGGGCCGCCGCAGGGGGGCUGCUGGCCGGCGGCGAGGCCGGGACCGGCCGUGGAGGGAAGGCGGAUGGCCCGGGAGCGCCACGCCGCAGAGCCAAGCGCUGCACUUGCUACACCUACAAGGACAAGGAGUGCGUGUACUACUGCCACCUGGACAUCAUCUGGAUCAACACCCCCGAGAGGACUGUACCAUAUGGGCUGUCUAACUACCGAGGCAGUUUCAGAGGCAAAAGGUCUACAGGACAGCUUUGCAAGAGCACAGAGUCUUUAGAUUGGUCUUUAUCACGGUGCUCUUGUUUGGACAUACAUGACAAACAGUGCAUGUUGUUUUGCACAAGAACCCAGGACAGCAGAUGUAAUCAAGGGUCACUGAAAAAGACAGCAGAGAAAGAGCAACGCAGAGAAAAUGAACAUGCCCUCAUUCAUUAGCACAGAGGGUCCAGGCAGUUCCUGAACAGAGAGUCGCAUGGCUUGCUGGUGUACCAAAGAGAGGAGAAGAACUGAUUCCCUGGUUCAACGAGUUUACAGUCUAAGGGAUUAACCCUGCAAGUGCUGGGCACUCCAAGCAAAUUGGAAAAAAGAAAGCUGGGGUGAAGUGGAGAGAAAAAAGGGAGACAAAAGGAAACCUGAAACAUUUCAAAAAUGAAAAUACGUGAAAAAAAGUUUGCAAAAUAUGUUGAAUGAAAAAUCAUUCCUUUUUGAAUCCUGCAGAGUGAAAAGGACUGACAUUUCCAAAAAUUUUCACAAAAAAUGUUCUCUUUUUGUACCAAGUUUUAGUCACAAGGAACUUUGACACAGACCCGUUUAGCUGCCAUGGCAAUAUAUGCUGUAGAAAUGAUUAAAAAUAACUAACAAGUAGGAGUGUGCAACCAGAAGUACGCAAUCAGGCAGCAGCAGAGACAAUGACAACAACGAACAACAACAAAAAGGGCAAAUAUAGUACAGUACUGUAUUAAAUGUAAACUACAAAAAACAAAUAAAGGGAAAGCAGCAUUUUUCUUCUGCACAGAAAAGUUUCAAAACUGUAUUAAGUCAGUCAAUGUUCAGUUGUAAACUUUUGAAAUAACCACAUUGUUUUGUUCAAAGUUACAAACAUUCCAGAGUUACUGAACAACCUCAAUUCCCAAUGUGUUCAUAACUCUGAGGUUCCACUGUACUGUGAUGCUGGCAAACCAGGUGCCAACUCCCGGCAAGGCUCUAGGCCUCAGCCAAGCACUGACAAAUUAAUUGCUGGAAACCAGUCUAUUUCACCUGUGUGUUAGCGUGGUUAAGAUGGCAAUUGAAGAUUUAACAAUAUGUUUAGACAUUAUGAAAUGCCUGUAAGAUGCUGCAUGUAGUAAUCCCAUUUCUAUCUUUAUCAUAUGCUAAUAUAUCUUUAUCCCAUUUAUACAAUAAUAUAAUAUUAUAAUAAAGGUAUGAAUGGGAUUAUAUUAUAUAAUCCCAUUUAUAUCUUUAUAAUGUGCUAAUAUUAAAGUUUUUGCUUUAUAACUGUAAAAAUGUUUGUUCUAAACCUGUGAACUUGUCAGGAGGGAUUGUCUCCUGCUUACCGGAAGGCUAUCAAAACUAAAUGGGCCACUGUGGGACAUUACAAUACAAAGACUUUGUUCAUUGCCCAACGCACCCAUGAAGAGGCUACCUGCAAAAGGGCUUAUCCCAUCAGCCUGAAUACCGGAAGAAGGAAAGAAAAAUAGCUGACAAGAAGAUAUUUAAUCUCUUUUGCUGUUUGGACUUUCACAGGGCUGGAGCUAUGACACAGAAGCAGAGAUCCCCAGGGUCAACCUGGGCUAGCCCUAAAAGAUAUUCAGAGAUGACACAUUACCACAGCUCUAAGAAAAGGAGUACUUGUGGCACCUUAGAGACUAACCAAUACUCCUUUUCUUUUUGCGAAUAUAGACUAACACGGCUGUUACUCUGAAACCUACCACAGCUCUGUCAUCUUUUAAAACCAUAGACUGUAACUCACUUGUGUGCAUACGUUUGCCUGCUUUAACCCUGUAAUGACUCUCUCAUUUCUUUUCUUAGUUAAUAAAUCCUUAGUUUACUAUAGGACUGGCUCCAAAUGUUGUCUUUAGUGUGAGGUCUAAGAUGCAAAUUGACCUGAGGUAAGUGACUGGUCUCUUGGGACUGGGAGCAACCUGAAUAUU